GACGAACGCUGGCGGCGUGCUUAACACAUGCAAGUCGAACGGAAAGGCCCUGCUUUUGUGGGGUGCUCGAGUGGCGAACGGGUGAGUAACACGUGAGUAACCUGCCCUUGACUUUGGGAUAACUUCAGGAAACUGGGGCUAAUACCGGAUAGGAGCUCCUGCUGCAUGGUGGGGGUUGGAAAGUUUCGGCGGUUGGGGAUGGACUCGCGGCUUAUCAGCUUGUUGGUGGGGUAGUGGCUUACCAAGGCUUUGACGGGUAGCCGGCCUGAGAGGGUGACCGGCCACAUGGGGAUGGAGAGAGGGCCCAGACUCCUACGGGAGGAAGAAGGGGGGAAAAUUGAACAAGGGGGGGAAGCCUGAGGAAGCAACGCGGGGGGGGGGAGGCGGGCCUUAGGGUGGUAAACGGUUUUCGCUGGUGACGAAGGGGGAGGGACGGAAAGGGGUAAAGAAGAACGGCUUAAUUAGGG
rnacentral:rRNA from 1 species